CGUAGGUGGCAAGCGUUGUCCGGAUUUAUGGGUUUAAAGGGUGCGUAGGCGGCCUUAUAAGUCAGUGCUGAAAUAUCCCGGCUUAACCGGGAGGGUGGCAUUGAUACUGUAGGGCUUGAGUACAGAUGAGGUAGGCGGAAUUGACGGUGUAGCGGUGAAAUGCAUAGAUAUCGUCAAGAACACCGAUAGCGAAGGCAGCUUACUGGGCUGUAACUGACGCUGAUGCACGAAAGUGGGGGGAUCAAACAGGAUUAGAUACCCUGGUAGUCCACACUGUAAACGUCGAUUACUCGCUGUUUGCGAUACACAGCAAGCGGCUUAGCGAAAGCGAUAAGUAAUCCACCUGGGGAGUACGCCGGCAACGGUG
rnacentral:rRNA from 1 species